CAAAGACAUGUAAGCACCUGGGUACUUCUUGAGCCUUAAAUAAUACCCCGGGAACUGGUUUAUCUGCACUGUGCGCAUAUUCACUUAGUUGAAGAGCCUAAUUUGCAGAUAGCAUUUCCCACUUGAACCUUUACGGUUCAAGAGCGAUAGGCUGCCACGGUUUUUGU
rnacentral:other from 1 species